rnacentral:lncRNA from 1 species
AAUUAAGAAUAUAAUCCAAGAUUAUAAGGGAUUAAAGCUUCUAAUUUGUAUUGUACACCAGGACAUCCAGAAGAUUUCAGAAAAUAGAAUGUAUUUGUUGAUGGAAGGACUGUUGAGGAAGGAGCGACUGGAAAAAACUUUUUAGCAAGCCACGAGCUUGGAGGAACACUCUGUCCAUUGCAGCGCAUCAGGUAAGAAGCACAGAGGUGAGCAAAAUCAUCUCAGUGGGAUCCAUCUAAAGGUGGGAGUAUGUGAAGUCUGGACACACAAAGACCUGACAGAAAUAAAGCCAAGACCCCCUUCAGUUCUUUUUUAGCCACUUGGAAAUCAUUACUCUGAACAAAGGAACUCCACCAAAAGACUCCUUAACAGUCCAAAGAGAAGAAAGAGGGCAGAAGGUUACGGUCAGGGUGGACAAGACCAGACCCCAAGUGGAUCUGAAGCCCACCAGCACAGCCAAGGUGUUUCCCAUUGCUCACUGCCUUCUCUGCACUCUGCCUCCAGCACCAGCGGCACAGGGGCCUCCUAAAGAGUCACCAAGUCCAUUUAUACUUUAUGAAUCAACUGGCAUCAGUCCUGAGACCCUUACUAGAAACAGCUGCACCUAAGCAAGGUGUGUUUCCAACACCAGAAAGAGGCUUAAAAAAGUUGACACGAGAAAACAAGGGCUGCACUUCCCAACUCUGAGCCCAGGGUAAGCAAGGCUGUGGUCAGGGUGGGAUCUGAGAAGCAAGAGAUGUGGAGGAGGGAUCUGAAUUCUCAGGGAUUAAAGAAAUCAGCGGGUAGAGAGAAGCAAAGGAGUAUGGGC